AUACGACUAUAUCACGUUGAAAGAACAUUUCUCGUCCGAUCACCGAAGUUAAGCAACGUUGAAACUGAUCAGUACCUAGAUGGAUGACCGCUGGGGAAUAUCAGGUCCC